UACGUAGGUGGCAAGCGUUGUCCGGAUUUAUUGGGUUUAAAGGGUGCGUAGGUGGUUCCAUAAGUCAGUGGUGAAAUACGGCAGCUUAACUGUCGAGGUGCCAUUGAUACUGCGGAACUUGAGUACAGACGAGGUAGGCGGAAUUGACGGUGUAGCGGUGAAAUGCUUAGAGAUCGUCAAGAACACCGAUAGCGAAGGCAGCUUACUAGACUGUAACUGACACUGAGGCACGAAAGUGUGGGGAUCAAACAGG
rnacentral:rRNA from 1 species